AAUUUUGGACAAUGGGGGCAACCCUGACUCAGCCAUCCCGCGUGUGCGAUGAAGGCCUUCGGGUUGUAAAGCACUCUUGGCAGGGAGGAAAAGGCUCUGGUUAUUACCUGGAGCUGCUGACGGUACCUGCAAAAUAAGCACCGUCUAUCUACGUCCCAGCAGCCGCGGUAAUACGUAGGGUGCACGCGUUAAGCGGAAUUACUGGGCGUAAAGCGUGCGGAGGCGGUUGGGCAAGAAGGAUGUGAAAUCCAAGGGCUUAACCUUGGAACUGCAUUCCUAACUGCCGGGCUAGAGUAUGUCAGAGGGGGGUAGAAUUCCGCGUGUAGCAGUGAAAUGCGUAGAGAUGCGGAGGAAUACCGAUGGCGAAGGCAGACCCCUGGGAUAAUACUGAAGCUCAUGCACGAAAGCGUGGGGAGCAAACAGG
rnacentral:rRNA from 1 species